GCACUCACGUUGGCAGCACAUAUACUAAAACUGGAACAAUACAGAGAACAUUAGCAUGGCCCCUGUGCAAGGAUGACAGGAAAAUUUAUAAAUGUUUCAUAUUAAA
ensembl:snRNA U6 U6 spliceosomal RNA